AAGUCGUAACAAGGUUUCCGUAGGUGAACCUGCGGAAGGAUCAUUACUGAAAAACUAUUUAGUUUUUUUAUAUCCCUUUGUUUAUCUACCCUGUUGCUUCCACCAGAUAGGUUCUGCCACUGGUGGUAAGGUUCUUUACCAAAAUUUGAUGAAAGAAUGUCUGAUAAAUACUUUGAAAAAUUAAAAUAAAACUUUCAACAACGGAUCUCUAGGCUCUUGCAUCGAUGAAGAACGCAGUGAAAUGCGAUAAGUAAUGUGAAUUGCAGAAUCUCGUGAAUCAUCGAAUCUUUGAACGCACAUUGCGCCCUAUGGUAUUCCGUAGGGCAUGCCUGUCUGAGCGUUAGCUCCCACACACUCAAGCCUCUUUAUUGAAGCUUGGAUUACUUUAAAGAAGUGGCUGAAAUACAAUAGGCUGCUCUUUAGAAAUUCAUAGGCAGUAUGGCACCUGAACCAGGCGUAAUAAGCAUAUAAAAGCGUCUCUCUUUAGGAAAAGUUGUACUUGCCUCAACCCACCCAUUUUCUGUCCGGGUGACCUCAGAUCAGGUAGGGAUACCCGCUGAACUUAA
rnacentral:rRNA from 1 species